GAGCCACCUACCGGGACCAGGUUGUGCAAAAGGUAGUCAGGGGAUUUUUGUAGAAACAACGGAGUUGGCCAGGUAUUGAUGGCGAGCUAGGAACCUACUGCUAAGGCAAGAAAGCCUGAAGCUCUACUCAGCCCAGAAUUUAUCUUUUCAACGUCACCUGCUCUGAUUGGACCGUCGUCUGCCACUAUGUGACCGUAGGCACUGGGUGAAAUGAGCUGCCAUUAAUGUUCUAUCUUCACGAUGAUCUCCGGGGCUCUGCAGGGUUAACAGAGAUCCCUCUUCCAAACUCUCAUCUAGGCUCUCUACAGUCAAACCUGACACCUCAUCCAGGAUGUUCUCUGCAAAAAC